rnacentral:rRNA from 1 species
UACGUAGGGUGCGAGCGUUGUCCGGAAUUAUUGGGCGUAAAGAGCUCGUAGGCGGUCUGUCGCGUCUGCUGUGAAAUCCCGAGGCUCAACCUCGGGCUUGCAGUGGGUACGGGCAGGCUAGAGUGCGGUAGGGGAGAAUGGAACUCCUGGUGUAGCGGUGGAAUGCGCAGAUAUCAGGAAGAACACCCGUGGCAAAGGCGGCUCUCUGGGACGGUACUGACGCUGAGACGCGAAAGCGUGGGGAGCGAACAGG